rnacentral:hammerhead_ribozyme from 1 species
GAACUGUUGAGGAGUCCCAUAAUAGAAUGAAACGGCCGUCUAGUGC